UCUGGAUGCUUGCAUCCUUCCGAAAGGGGCAAUAAUACCGAAUGAUAUCAUAAAUCGUAAGAUUGAUGGUCAAAGAUUUAUCGGUUUGGGAGCGGCCUAUCUCCUAUCAGCUUGUUGGUGAGGUAAUGGCUCACCAAGGCAUCGACGGGUAGCGGGACUGAGAGGUUGGUCCGCCACAUUGGGACUGAGACACUGCCCAGACCCCCACGGGGGGCUGCAGUAACGAAUAUUGCACAAUGGACGAAAGUCUGAUGCAGCAAUGCCGCGUGUAGGAUGAAGCUUUUCGGAGUGUAAACUACUGUCAGGGGUUAGAAAGUCUUCGGAUUGAUCAGCCCCAGAGGAAGUCACGGCUAACUUCGUGCCAGCAGCCGCGGUAAUACGAAGGUGGCGAGCGUUGUUCGGAAUCACUGGGCUUAAAGCGCGCGUAGGCGGAAUAGAUAGUGUCUUGUGAAAUCCCCCGGCUUAACCGGGGAACUGCUUGGCAUACUGCUAUUCUUGAGGUAAGUAGGGGUACAUGGAACUCUUGGUGGAGCGGUGGAAUGCGUAGAUAUCAAGAGGAACGCCAAUGGUGAAGACAGUGUACUGGGCUUAUUCUGACGCUGAGGUGCGAAAGCGUGGGGAGCGAAAGGGAUUAGAUACCCCUGUAGUCCACGCCGUAAACGAUGUCUACUAGGUUGUGGAGGUUCUGACACCCUCACAGUCGAAGCAAAAGUGUUAAGUAGACCGCCUGGGAAGUACGGUCGCAAGGCUAAAACUCAAAGGAAUUGACGGGGGCUCACACAAGCGGUGGAGCAUGUGG
rnacentral:rRNA from 1 species